rnacentral:rRNA from 1 species
GUGUCAGCCGCCGCGGUAAUACAGAGGUGGCAAGCGUUGUUCGGAAUUACUGGGCGUAAAGGGCGCGUAGGCGGUUCGUUAAGUCCCGCGUGAAAUCCCCCGGCUCAACCGGGGAAUGGCGUGGGAAACUGGCGGGCUUGAGUUCGGGAGAGGGAAGCGGAAUUCCGGGUGUAGCGGUGAAAUGCGUAGAUAUCCGGAGGAACACCGGUGGCGAAGGCGGCUUCCUGGACCGACACUGACGCUGAGGCGCGAAAGCUAGGGGAGCAAACGGGAUUAGAAACCCCGGUAGUCC